CAGUAAAAGAAAAUAUCCGAACGAAAAAUGAUGAAUAAACAAGCUUGAAUUUAUU
rnacentral:tRNA from 1 species